GCGCGGAGCGAGGGGAGGCAUUCUGCGCCCGUCACGGGAAGGCGAGGCGGAGGAGAGGAAAGAGAGGAAAAAGCGAGUAGCCAGAGCCCCCGGACCCCGACAAUCGGACCCCCGCGUCAGGACCAGAUUGGAGGCGCUGGCCCUGCGCAGACACACCGGCAGUGUGCUAGACCGGAGAGGGGGGUCAGACUGCUCACCGCGUGGAGAUGCCGAAGGUCACGUCCGGAGGGGCGCGCGGUCUCC